rnacentral:lncRNA from 1 species
AUCUUAAAGAUGGAUGCAAGUAGGUGUUCCAUCUAAAAACAAUGGAAACUAACGGUCCAAAUGUUUUCUUACUAGAAAUAUUAUUUCUAGUUUUUAAAAUUUAUUUAUUUUUUCAUAUUCAUGAUCUCCAUGUUAGAUAUUACAUGUCCUUAAAAAUUAAGUCCAAAACUCCAUCUCAAAAAUAGAUUUAUUAAAAGGCCCGCAUUUCUACAUAUGUGGGCUUGGCCGCAUAGAAACCGGGUCCUUAACUGAUUCCCCAUUAACUUCAAAAUAUAGCUCCACAGUUUCCUUUUUGAUUCAACCAAUCAUCUGCCUGUCCUGAUUCAACUAGUAACAUAAAUCUCGAUCACGAUGAACUCUCACUCAUUGUGUGCAGUCUCCAUUUGAGUUACUCACACAUAUGAUUGUUGCCAAAAUGUGCAAGCCCCCACAUACUGCCUCCAUGCAUGGCAUGCAUAUCUGCAGUCGCCCGUUG